rnacentral:rRNA from 1 species
GACGAACGCUGGCGGCGUGCUUAACACAUGCAAGUCGAACGGAAAGGCCCCCUUGUGGGGUACUCGAGUGGCGAACGGGUGAGUAACACGUGAGUAACCUACCCUCGACUUUGGGAUAACUUCAGGAAACUGGGGCUAAUACCGGAUAGGAGCUCCUGCUGCAUGGUGGGGGUUGGAAAGUUUCGGCGGUUGGGGAUGGACUCGCGGCUUAUCAGCUUGUUGGUGGGGUAGUGGCUCACCAAGGCUUUGACGGGUAGCCGGCAUGAGAGGGUGACCGGCCACAUUGGGACUGAGAUACGGCCCAGACUCCUACGGGAGGCAGCAGUGGGGAAUAUUGCACAAUGGGCGGAAGCCAGAUGCAACAACGCCGCGUGCGGGAUAACGGCCUUCGGGUUGUAAACCGCUUUCGCCUGUGACGAAGCGUGAGUGACGGUAAUGGGUAAAGAAGCACCGGCUAACUACGUG